rnacentral:rRNA from 1 species
AAUUAAAUUUAAUUUUUUUGUGAAGAAGCAAAAAUAAGAAUUAGGGACAAGAAGACCCUAUGAAUUUUAAUUUAUUUAUUAUAUAAAAUAUGUUAAAUAAAUUUAAUUGGGGCGAUUGGAAAAGAAUAAGUAUCUUUUUUUAAAAAUUUUUAAAAAUUGGUUCCGUUUUUAGCGAUUAAAUGAAAAAAAUACUCUAGGGAUAACAGCGUAAUAAUUUUGGAUAGUUCAUAUUGAUAAAAUAGUUUGCGACCUCGAUGUUGGAUUAGGAUUCUUUUUUGGUGAAGAAAUUAUAAAAAGAAGUUUGUUCAACUUUUAAUUUCCUACUUGAUCUGAGUUCAGAAU